UUGGUGGAAGUAAAAAAGUCGUAACAAGGUUUCCGUAGGUGAACCUGCGGAAGGAUCAUUAUCGAGUUUUGAACGGGUUGUCUGCUGGCUCGCAAGGGCAUGUGCACGCCUGUCUCAUCCACUCUCAACUUCUGUGCACUUUUCAUAGGCCGGCUUGUGGGUGCGUUCGCGCACUUGUAGGUGUCGGGCUUAUGCUUUAUUACAAACGAUUCAGUUUUAGAAUGUCAUACUUUGCUAUAACGCAAUUUAUAUACAACUUUCAGCAACGGAUCUCUUGGCUCUCGCAUCGAUGAAGAACGCAGCGAAAUGCGAUAAGUAAUGUGAAUUGCAGAAUUCAGUGAAUCAUCGAAUCUUUGAACGCACCUUGCGCUCCUUGGUAUUCCGAGGAGCAUGCCUGUUUGAGUCUCAUGGAAUUCUCAACCUUCAGCUUUAUUGAUGAAGGCUUGGACUUGGAGGUCGUGCCGGCUCUCGUAGUCGGCUCCUCUGAAAUGCAUUAGUGCGAACGUUACCAGCCGCUUCAGCGUGAUAAUUAUCUGCGUUGCUGUGGAGGGUAUUCUAGUGUUCACGCUUCUAACCGUCUUCGGACAAAUUUCUGAACUCUGAGCUCAAAUCAGGUAAG
rnacentral:rRNA from 1 species